UAACGAAUAUUGGGCAAUGGGCGAAAGCCUGACCCAGCAAUGCCGCGUGCGGGAGGAAGUCCUUCGGGAUGUAAACCGCUGUCAGGGUCCGCCAAGCGAUGCGGGUGAAUAAUCCGCAAAGUUGAGGAGACCCAGAGGAAGCCUCGGCUAACUCUGUGCCAGCAGCCGCGGUAAGACAGAGGAGGCAAGCGUUGUUCGGAAUUACUGGGCUUAAAGCGCGUGCAGGCGGCCGCGUAAGUGUCGUGUGAAA
rnacentral:rRNA from 1 species